rnacentral:rRNA from 1 species
GAUGAACGCUGGCGGCGUGCCUAAUACAUGCAAGUCGAGCGAACGGACGAGAAGCUUGCUUCUCUGAUGUUAGCGGCGGACGGGUGAGUAACACGUGGAUAACUUACCUAUAAGACUGGGAUAACUUCGGGAAACCGGAGCUAAUACCGGAUAAUAUUUUGAACCGCAUGGUUCAAAAGUGAAAGACGGUCUUGCUGUCACUUAUAGAUGGAUCCGCGCUGCAUUAGCUAGUUGGUAAGGUAACGGCUUGCCAAGGCAACGAUGCAUAGCCGACCUGAGAGGGUGAUCGGCCACACUGGAACUGAGACACGGUCCAGACUCCUACGGGAGGCAGCAGUAGGGAAUCUUCCGCAAUGGGCGAAAGCCUGACGGAGCAACGCCGCGUGAGUGAUGAAGGUCUUCGGAUCGUAAAACUCUGUUAUUAGGGAAGAACAUAUGUGUAAGUAACUGUGCACAUCUUGACGGUACCUAAUCAGAAAGCCACGGCUAACUACGUG